rnacentral:rRNA from 1 species
AUACGUAGGGAGCGAGCGUUGUCCGGAAUUACUGGGUGUAAAGGGAGCGUAGGCGGGACUGCAAGUCAGAUGUGAAAUACCGGGGCUUAACCCCGGAGCUGCAUUUGAAACUGUGGUUCUUGAGUGAAGUAGAGGCAAGCGGAAUUCCUGGUGUAGCGGUGUAAUGCGUAGAUAUCAGGAGGAACACCGGUGGCGAAGGCGGCUUGCUGGGCUUUUACUGACGCUGAGGCUCGAAAGCGUGGGUAGCAAACAGGAUUAGAUACCCUGGUAGUCCACGCUGUAAACGAUGAUUACUAGGUGUGGGGGGACUGACCCCUUCCGUGCCGCAGUUAACACAAUAAGUAAUCCACCUGGGGAGUACGGCCGCAAGGUUGAAACUCAAAUGAAUUGGCGGGG